rnacentral:rRNA from 1 species
ACGAACGCUGGCGGCAUGCCUAACACAUGCCAGUCGAACGAGACCUUCGGGUCUAGUGGCGCACGGGUGCGUAACGCGUGGGAACCUGCCCUUAGGUUCGGAAUAACUCCCCGAAAGGGGUGCUAAUACCGGAUAAUGUCUUCGGACCAAAGAUUUAUCGCCUUUGGAUGGGCCCGCGUUGGAUUAGCUCGUUGGUAGGGUAAAAGCCUACCAAGGCGACGAUCCAUAGCUGGUCUGAGAGGAUGAUCAGCCACACUGGGACUGAGACACGGCCCAGACUCCUACGGGAGGCAGCAGUGGGGAAUAUUGGACAAUGGGCGAAAGCGUGAUCCAGCAAUGCCGCGUGAGUGAUGAAGGCCUUAGGGUUGUAAAGCUCUUUUACCCGGGAUGAUAAUGACAGUACCGGGAGAAUAAGCUCCGGCUAACUCCGUG